GGCUCGAUAGCUCAGUUGGUUAGAAUGCGCUGCUGAUCUUGCCAAGGUUGCAGGUUCGAUCCCCGUACGGGACA